rnacentral:rRNA from 1 species
AGAGUUUGAUCCUGGCUCAGGAUGAACGCUGUUGGAGUGCUUAACACAUGCAAGUCGAGCGAAGCGCCUGGAAGUUUUCGGACAGAAGGGCGACUGAGCGGCGGACGGGUGAGUAACGCGUGGGUAAUCUGCCUCAUACAGGGGAAUAACAGCUAGAAAUGGCUGCUAAUGCCGCAUAAGCGCACAGGACCGCAUGGUCUGGUGUGAAAAACUCCGGUGGUAUGAGAUGAACCCGCGUCUGAUUAGUUAGUUGGCAGGGUAACGGCCUACCAAGACGACGAUCAGUAGCCGGCCUGAGAGGGUGGACGGCCACAUUGGGACUGAGACACGGCCCAGACUCCUACGGGAGGCAGCAGUGGGGAAUAUUGCACAAUGGGGGAAACCCUGAUGCAGCAACGCCGCGUGAGUGAAGAAGUAUUUCGGUAUGUAAAGCUCUAUCAGCAGGGAAGAAAAUGACGGUACCUGAGUAAGAAGCCCCGGCUAACUACGUGCCAGCAGCCGCGGUAAUACGUAGGGGGCAAGCGUUAUCCGGAUUUACUGGGUGUAAAGGGAGCGUAGACGGCGAGGCAAGUCUGAUGUGAAAGCCUGGGGCUUAACCCCGGAACUGCAUUGGAAACUGCUUUGCUGGAGUGCCGGAGAGGUAAGCGGAAUUCCUAGUGUAGCGGUGAAAUGCGUAGAUAUUAGGAGGAACACCAGUGGCGAAGGCGGCUUACUGGACGGUAACUGACGUUGAGGCUCGAAAGCGUGGGGAGCAAACAGGAUUAGAUACCCUGGUAGUCCACGCGGUAAACGAUGAAUGCUAGGUGUUGGGGAGCAGAGCUCUUCGGUGCCGCCGCAAACGCAUUAAGCAUUCCACCUGGGGAGUACGCCGGCAACGGUGAAACUCAAAGGAAUUGACGGGGGCCCGCACAAGCGGAGGAACAUGUGGUUUAAUUCGAUGAUACGCGAGGAACCUUACCCGGGCUUAAAUUGCAAAUGAAUUAUGGGGAAACCCAUACGCCGCAAGGCAUUUGUGACGGUGCUGCAUGGUUGUCGUCAGCUCGUGCCGUGAGGUGUCGGCUUAAGUGCCAUAACGAGCGCAACCCCUAUUGUUAGUUGCUACGCAAGAGCACUCUAGCGAGACUGCCGUUGACAAAACGGAGGAAGGUGGGGACGACGUCAGAUCAUCAUGCCCCUUAUGUCCUGGGCUACACACGUACUACAAUGGCGGUAAACAGAGGGAAGCAAGACCGCGAGGUGGAGCAAACCCCUAAAAGCCGUCCCAGUUCGGAUUGCAGGCUGCAACCCGCCUGUAUGAAGUUGGAAUCGCUAGUAAUCGCGGAUCAGCAUGCCGCGGUGAAUACGUUCCCGGGCCUUGCACUCACCGCCCGUCA